UUACCUACCCUUGACAUGGUCGGAAUCCUGCUGAGAGGUGGGAGUGCUCGAAAGAGAACCGGCGCACAGGUGCUGCAUGGCUGUCGUCAGCUCGUGUCGUGAGAUGUUGGGUUAAGUCCCGCAACGAGCGCAACCCUUGUCCUUAGUUGCUACGCAAGAGCACUCUAAGGAGACUGCCGGUGACAAACCGGAGGAAGGUGGGGAUGACGUCAAGUCCUCAUGGCCCUUAUGGGUAGGGCUUCACACGUCAUACAAUGGUCGGAACAGAGGGUUGCCAACCCGCGAGGGGGAGCUAAUCCCAGAAAUCCGAUCGUAGUCCGGAUUGCACUCUGCAACUCGAGUGCAUGAAGCUGGAAUCGCUAGUAAUCGCGGAUCA
rnacentral:rRNA from 1 species